CAACACCUAGGAGGAUCCUGAGUACGGCGGAACACGAGAAAUUCCGUCGGAAUCCGCGGGGACCAUCCCGCAAGGCUAAAUACUCACUAGUGACCGAUAGUGAACCAGUACCGUGAGGGAAAGGUGAAAAGCACCCCGGAAGGGGAGUGAAAUAGAUCCUGAAACCGUGUGCCUACAACAAGUCAAAGCUCGUUAAUGAGUGAUGGCGUGCCU
rnacentral:rRNA from 1 species